UGGGCUUGACAUGUCCGGGAUUCUGCAGAGAUGCGGGAGUGCCCUUCGGGGAAUCGGAACAC
rnacentral:rRNA from 1 species